AGCAGUAGCCGCGGUAAUACGUAGGGUGCGAGCGUUAAUCGGAAUUACUGGGCGUAAAGCGUGCGCAGGCGGUUGUGUAAGACAGGUGUGAAAUCCCCGGGCUUAACCUGGGAACUGCGCUUGUGACUGCACAGCUAGAGUGUGGCAGAGGGGGGUGGAAUUCCACGUGUAGCAGUGAAAUGCGUAGAGAUGUGGAGGAACACCGAUGGCGAAGGCAGCCCCCUGGGCCAAUACUGACGCUCAUGCACGAAAGCGUGGGGAGCGAACAGGAUUAGAUACCCCGGUAGUCCCUGUCUCUUAUAC
rnacentral:rRNA from 1 species